rnacentral:rRNA from 1 species
GCUUAGUGGUGGGGUGACUGCGUACCUUUUGUAUAAUGGGUCAGCGACUUAUAUUCUGUAGCAAGGUUAACCGAAUAGGGGAGCCGGAGGGAAACCGAGUCUUAAUUGGGCGUUAAGUUGCAGGGUAUAGACCCGAAACCCGGUGAUCUAGCCAUGGGCAGGUUGAAGGUUGGGUAACACUAACUGGAGGACCGAACCGACUAAUGUUGAAAAAUUAGCGGAUGACCUGUGGCUGGGGGUGAAAGGCCAAUCAAACCGGGAGAUAGCUGGUUCUCCCCGAAAGCUAUUUAGGUAGCGCCUCGUGAAUUCAUCUCCGGGGGUAGAGCACUGUUUCGGCUAGGGGGCCAUCCCGGCUUACCAACCCGAUGCAAACUGCGAAUACCGGAGAAUGUUAUCACGGGAGACACACGGCGGGUGCUAACGUCCGUCGUGAAGAGGGAAACAACCCAGACCGCCAGCUAAGGUCCCAAAGUCAUGGUUAAGUGGGAAACGAUGUGGGAAGGCCCAGACAGCCAGGAUGUUGGCUUAGAAGCAGCCAUCAUUUAAAGAAAGCGUAAUAGCUCACUGGUCGAGUCGGCCUGCGCGGAAGAUGUAACGGGGCUAAACCAUGCACCGAAGCUGCGGCAGCGACGUUUAUGCGUUGUUGGGUAGGGGAGCGUUCUGUAAGCCUGCGAAGGUGGCCUGUGAGGGUUGCUGGAGGUAUCAGAAGUGCGAAUGCUGACAUAAGUAACGAUAAAGCGGGUGAAAAGCCCGCUCGCCGGAAGACCAAGGGUUCCUGUCCAACGUUAAUCGGGGCAGGGUGAGUCGACCCCUAAGGCGAGGCCGAAAGGCGUAGUCGAUGGGAAACGGGUUAAUAUUCCCGUACUUGGUGUUACUGCGAAGGGGGGACGGAGAAGGCUAUGUUGGCCGGGCGACGGUUGUCCCGGUUUAAGCGUGUAGGUGUGUGUUCCAGGUAAAUCCGGUUCACUUUAACACUGAGGCGUGAUGACGAGGCACUACGGUGCUGAAGCAACAAAUGCCCUGCUUCCAGGAAAAGCCUCUAAGCAUCAGGUAACACGAAAUCGUACCCCAAACCGACACAGGUGGUCAGGUAGAGAAUACCAAGGCGCUUGAGAGAACUCGGGUGAAGGAACUAGGCAAAAUGGUGCCGUAACUUCGGGAGAAGGCACGCUGACACGUAGGUGAAGUGAUUUACUCAUGGAGCUGAAGUCAGUCGAAGAUACCAGCUGGCUGCAACUGUUUAUUAAAAACACAGCACUGUGCAAACACGAAAGUGGACGUAUACGGUGUGACGCCUGCCCGGUGCCGGAAGGUUAAUUGAUGGGGUCAGCGCAAGCGAAGCUCCUGAUCGAAGCCCCGGUAAACGGCGGCCGUAACUAUAACGGUCCUAAGGUAGCGAAAUUCCUUGUCGGGUAAGUUCCGACCUGCACGAAUGGCGUAAUGAUGGCCAGGCUGUCUCCACCCGAGACUCAGUGAAAUUGAACUCGCUGUGAAGAUGCAGUGUACCCGCGGCAAGACGGAAAGACCCCGUGAACCUUUACUAUAGCUUGACACUGAACAUUGAGCCUUGAUGUGUAGGAUAGGUGGGAGGCUUUGAAGUGUGGACGCCAGUCUGCAUGGAGCCGACCUUGAAAUACCACCCUUUAAUGUUUGAUGUUCUAACGUGGACCCGUUACCCGGGUUGCGGACAGUGUCUGGUGGGUAGUUUGACUGGGGCGGUCUCCUCCUAAAGAGUAACGGAGGAGCACGAAGGUUGGCUAAUCCUGGUCGGACAUCAGGAGGUUAGUGCAAUGGCAUAAGCCAGCUUGACUGCGAGCGUGACGGCGCGAGCAGGUGCGAAAGCAGGUCAUAGUGAUCCGGUGGUUCUGAAUGGAAGGGCCAUCGCUCAACGGAUAAAAGGUACUCCGGGGAUAACAGGCUGAUACCGCCCAAGAGUUCAUAUCGACGGCGGUGUUUGGCACCUCGAUGUCGGCUCAUCACAUCCUGGGGCUGAAGUAGGUCCCAAGGGUAUGGCUGUUCGCCAUUUAAAGUGGUACGCGAGCUGGGUUUAGAACGUCGUGAGACAGUUCGGUCCCUAUCUGCCGUGGGCGCUGGAGAACUGAGGGGGGCUGCUCCUAGUACGAGAGGACCGGAGUGGACGCAUCACUGGUGUUCGGGUUGUCAUGCCAAUGGCACUGCCCGGUAGCUAAAUGCGGAAGAGAUAAGUGCUGAAAGCAUCUAAGCACGAAACUUGCCCCGAGAUGAGUUCUCCCUGAGACUUAGAGUCUCCUGAAGGAACGUUGAAGACGACGACGUUGAUAGGCCGGGUGUGUAAGCGCAGCGAUGCGUUGAGCUAACCGGUA